UAUAAAAUUGCAGUUUAGUUUUGUUAUUUGAAAUAAAACAUUGUUUUAUUAUACAAAGAAACGUGAAGCAUUUAAGAAAUAAUGCAAGGGAAGUUGUUCAUUUCUAAUUUGUUUCAACUCAUUUUGUAAAAAUAAAUCGUGAGUAAAUCGUGAAUAAAUUGCAUCGUGAGAUCAGAAUCGUGACUCGCAUCGCAUCGUGAAUCGUUACAUCCCUAAUGUCUUUUCAUAUCUAUACGACGGCAUAACAAUGUCUGACAACAAUGUAAUGAAGGAAAAUGUGCAAAAUGCCCUAAACUCUAAACCUGCACUGAACAUACAUUCAUUUCAACAAUAACAACUUUAAAAGAAAACUAAAGUGUUGUUUUCUGCUGAACUGAGAUGAACACGUAGCAGCAUCAAGUUGUGACUGAUCAUCCUCUUAUAACAUUUCAGCUCUUCUUGUGGCUGUUGCAGCUGAAAGGGGGGUUUGUUUAAUAUUUUCUCUUAGUUCAUGUCUUUAUUUUCCUUCUAUAAGUGUUUCACACGCAGCUUCCAUGCACUCUAUUUCCCCAUCAGUAAAGGGCUUGUUAUGUUUUCCUAAGAUCCACUGUAUUCUUAGGGAACACGGUAAGUGAGUGAGGGAGGACCCGUGUAGAUCGCUCCUACUGGGAUUUGAGCUCAUAUAUUUUCCGUGUCCUUACCUCGGACUGCUGCGGGUAAGUUUCUUCAUAGUGUCUGUAGGAGCCAUACUUAUUAUUUUAUUAAACUUUUCUACAUGUUCAUUUAAAUAUCAAUUUGUUGCUAUAUUGUUAAUGUUGUUUAUUUCUCUGAGUGUGUGUCCUCUAUAGGUGUAGAGGAAAAAAGGUUUAAAAGGAUAUGCCACCCUUGACAGGAAGAGGGCGCUGGUGCGAGAACACACAGUUUUUGACCGUGCGCAUUGAGCUAAAAUGGCAGCAAACAACAAGCCUGCAUGUGGCCUUUAAGUUGUUUUUCUUUUUGUAGUAAUUCAGUUUGGUUUUGAUUGAAUAAACAGUUAUUAUUUGGAACAUCAGCAAGGCUUUCUGGAUCUAUUCAAGCAACUCAGCACGCGUCAGAUUACUGCAUCAACACCUCCCACAGUGGUUAAGAAACAAGGGACAAAAUUGGAGAUUAUUACUUCAGAUUUAACCAGUACUGUGUCUAUGUCUAGUUUCAUAAUGCCGUUCAAGGUUUCCACUUUUGAUAACCGCAACAGACUCCUAGCAAAUGAGACAAACCGGUCACGUGCAUCUCGAUGGAGGAAGAAUAAAUGCAAAUCUCUCGAGCCAUUCAUCUCGGAAAACAUGGUUUUCAGCGUCAACUUUUCUAACUUUUGAAAAGGACAUUGUUUUUGAGUCACCGACAGUUACAUCUGUCUGCGCGCUGCAUCUAGUCUGUCUCGGCUCUCUUCACUCAUCGACGUCUGAACGUAGCAACAGUGCGCAUAUGUUAACUGUCCGUGGCGCCGUAGGACCCAAACUGCUACUGAGCAGACCUUGAUGUGCCUGGUAUAAAUUUGAUUGCAUUAGAAAAUAAUGUUAGGCGUUCAUUUACUUAUUAUGUCAAAAGGCUUUGAGGUCCGGACGGACGCAUCUCGCGGUCCGCAUUCGGACCGGAGUUCGCUAGUUGGUGACCCCUGGUUUAGAAAAACAGCACAAACAACAUGCAGCACCUGCCAGGCUACAUGCGUGCACGUCAGGGUCCGCCAUAUUAACCAGAACUACUUAGCAUUGUCGCUACCUGAUCCGUCCCGGAAACACAAUUUGUUCCGCGCAUGCGCGACACUGACGCCCCUUCCGGUUAAUCCAGUUUUUACGACGUCGACUCGAUCCUUUCAGGGGUUGCUCGAUUUGUAUUGCACAUGUGCAAAAGCGCAUCACGACACUUGUCCUGCGGAUGUGCUCGAUUAGAUAUUUGGUGAUGAGUAUAUGUGAUAGCAGUAUGGAUUCUUUUGCAUUUGAUGAACAACUUAAAUAUUAUCUCUUAAAAGGAGAAAUUCCUGACAGCCCUACAGAGCGUCGGAAGAUGACAGACUCUUCUACAUGGGCCCUAGCAGAGCAUGCAGUACAUACGGCUAGUUGUCCUGUCAGAGGAAGAGAAAACAUCUGAUUUUACAGAGUGCCACAAUAACCCAGGAACUGUCAAUCACAGUGGUGUCAGAGGCACUCAAAACAGGGUUAUUGCUGGCUACUAUUGGUCCACAAUAAUCAACGACGUGAAAGAAUGGGUGAGAUCUUGUCACUGCUGCCAGCUGAAUGACCCCAUCAAACUGUUGUGCGAGUCUUGCAUUACAUUAAGGUAAAAGAAGCUUGGGAGGUGCUUGGUUUAGAUUGAUUGGACCACUACCAGAAACAGAACGCAGCAACAAGUAUGUCCAUACCAUGACUGACCUGUACACCAAAUGGGAAAUGCUUGCCUCAAGAUUGUAGAAGAAGCUGCACGACAACAUUUACUGUGUACUAUUAUGGGCCGGUUUCACAGACAAGGCUUUAGCUUACGCCAGCACUAGGCCUUAGUUAAUUAUCUGCAUGCUGAUGUAUGCACCUGCACAUCGUGUCCAUUAACAUUCACAGAGACACCCGACGGUAGUCCAAACCAUUGCAGUCUAUCUGUCCUUCCGGUUUUCUUCCCACCUUUUCGAUUUCAACAUGGCAGCAGAGUGAAAUCUAUUGUGGUCAUAUAGUAUAUUAAGCAGUUGGAUGCAUGCUGAAUAUGUGCCUAUAUACAUGCAUGCACAUAUACAUACAUGAAUACAAACUUGUGUUUUUACUUUACCAGGUGCAGCAGCCAGCCAUUGUCAGAGACCUACAUUCAGCAUGGGACUGAAUACAAAGUCACAGAGACUUAUUCCAUGGGGAGGUGACAGAGCCUGUAUUUUUGCGGAUGCACAUGGACGAUCAACAAAAUGUCAUCAGAAAGGUCCUGAGGGGUCAAUUCUCCAAGGCGAAGGAUGACUUUUUGUUUGUAUUUCAGUAUCAAGAAGACAUGGAAACAUUUUUUGGCAUACUGUAUUGAUAAACACGGCCUAAAGGUCAAUGCCAUGUUCCUCAAUCAGCAAUUUAAGUAGAUGAAUAGAUGAGUGAGGGAGGGAGGUAGUGAGUGAGUGUGUGACU